rnacentral:rRNA from 1 species
UGGGGAAUAUUGCACAAUGGGGGAAACCCUGAUGCAGCGACGCCGCGUGAGCGAAGAAGGUUUUCGAAUCGUAAAGCUCUGUCCUAUGAGAAGAUAAUGACGGUAUCAUAGGAGGAAGCCCCGGCUAAAUACGUGCCAGCAGCCGCGGUAAUACGUAUGGGGCGAGCGUUGUCCGGAAUUAUUGGGCGUAAAGGGUACGUAGGCGGUCUAUUAAGUCGGGUGUGAAAGCGUGAGGCUUAACCUCAUUAAGCACUUGAAACUGAUAGACUUGAGUGAGGGAGAGGAAAGUGGAAUUCCUAGUGUAGCGGUGAGAUGCGUAGAUAUUAGGAGGAAUACCGGUGGCGAAGGAGACUUUCUGGACUUUUACUGACGCUCAGGUACGAAAGCGAGGGGAGCAAACAGG